GACGGAGGGUGCAAGCGUUGUUCGGAUUGACUGGGCGUAAAGGGCGUGUAGGCGGUUGGUCAAGUCUGAUGUGAAAGCCCGGGGCUCAACCCCGGGUCGGCCGUGGCAACUGCUGAGCUAGAGCACUGUAGAGGCAGGUGGAAUUCCGGGGUGUAGCGGUGGAAUGCGUAGAGAUCCGGAAGAACACCGGUGGCGAAGGCGGCCUGACUGGGCAGUGGCUGACGCUGAUGCGCGACAGCGUGGGGAG
rnacentral:rRNA from 1 species